UAAUUAGCCAAUCACUAUUUCCUUGAGGCUGUUAUCUUAUGUGAAUAAUCAGUGAGCACAAAAGUAGCUUUCUGUUAGUGGCAUUUCAUGGUGAACUGGAAUUCUGGUUUCACUUUAGAUCAUCAACUACAUCUGUAAAAUGUUCAGUCUGUAUUUCAUUAGGACUUGCAUAUUUUAUUUGGUUAUGGUGGCCAAUUAGCCAAUCACAUAUUGCUGCAUGGAUGCUGUUGGAUGUGAAUGGUCAGUAAGCCACCAA
rnacentral:misc_RNA from 1 species